rnacentral:lncRNA from 1 species
GAGUACUCAAUGAUUCUAGUUGAAAGAAAGAAAAAAGGAAGGAAGAAAGGAGGAAGAGGCAGGCACAAGACAAAAUGAAUCUCUCCGCUGUGCACAUGGAGCCUUAGCUCUGAUUCCAGUUGAGCAAAAUUAUGAAGAAGAUGAUUCCCCAUAUGGAUGACAGAUAAACACCCUGUGGCGAGUCACUCACUCCCGAAAGGCCCUCUGAAGGAUCGCGCAUGUCCUGACUGCACAGCCUGCUCCUGACAAUGCUCUCAAAGCCACGGUUGUAAUAGAAAUUGGAAAAUCAAAGCAGAUCCAUGUGGCCUCAGCAUAACGAAAACAAGGUAGGCCAAAGAGAAAUCAGGAAUAAAUGGAUGUUACUACUACUAGUACUGCUUCUGCUGCCAAGUUUUUGAGCACAUAACCAGGAUGACAACCACAGUUCCACAAAGCUCUGAUAAAACAUCAAAAAGAAACUCACCACCAAGGAAACCAGAGAAUCCUUUCUUGUCUUGAGUGAAUGGCAAUGAUCUUGGUGGCCAAGAUAAUAAAUACACGUUUAUUAUAUUGAAAAACUAUUCUAAAAUAUAUGUUCUCUAUAUAAAGUAAUCUCCACAUGAUUCUGAGAAAAAGUUUAAUCUAUCUUUCUACUACAAAGUUCUUAAUAAUGCUUUGACAAGGAGGUACCAUAUCCCAAGAUGUGAUACACUUUGCUCAGUUUUUAAAUUAAACAUUCUAGAGU